UACGUAGGCAGCAAGCGUUGUUCGGAGUUACUGGGCGUAAAGAGUGCGUAGGCGGUCCUCUAAGUUUGGUGUGAAAUCUCCCGGCUCAACCGGGAGGGUGCGCCGAAAACUGGAGGGCUCGAGUGUGGGAGAGGUAAGCGGAAUUCCUGGUGUAGCGGUGAAAUGCGUAGAUAUCAGGAAGAACACCCGUGGCUAAGGCGGCUCUCUAGUACGGUACUGACGCUGAGACGCGAAAGCGUGGGGAGCGAACAGG
rnacentral:rRNA from 1 species